rnacentral:rRNA from 1 species
CUGUGAGCUCGAUGAGUAGGGCGGGACACGUGGUAUCCUGUCUGAAUAUGGGGGGACCAUCCUCCAAGGCUAAAUACUCCUGACUGACCGAUAGUGAACCAGUACCGUGAGGGAAAGGCGAAAAGAACCCCGGCGAGGGGAGUGAAAAAGAACCUGAAACCGUGUACGUACAAGCAGUGGGAGCCUCUUAAUGGGGUGACUGCGUACCUUUUGUAUAAUGGGUCAGCGACUUAUAUUCUGUAGCAAGGUUAACCGAAUAGGGGAGCCGAAGGGAAACCGAGUCUUAACUGGGCGUUAAGUUGCAGGGUAUAGACCCGAAACCCGGUGAUCUAGCCAUGGGCAGGUUGAAGGUUGGGUAACACUAACUGGAGGACCGAACCGACUAAUGUUGAAAAAUUAGCGGAUGACUUGUGGCUGGGGGUGAAAGGCCAAUCAAACCGGGAGAUAGCUGGUUCUCCCCGAAAGCUAUUUAGGUAGCGCCUCGUGAAUUCAUCUCCGGGGGUAGAGCACUGUUUCGGCAAGGGGGUCAUCCCGACUUACCAACCCGAUGCAAACUGCGAAUACCGGAGAAUGUUAUCACGGGAGACACACGGCGGGUGCUAACGUCCGUCGUGAAGAGGGAAACAACCCAGACCGCCAGCUAAGGUCCCAAAGUCAUGGUUAAGUGGGAAACGAUGUGGGAAGGCCCAGACAGCCAGGAUGUUGGCUUAGAAGCAGCCAUCAUUUAAAGAAAGCGUAAUAGCUCACUGGUCGAGUCGGCCUGCGCGGAAGAUGUAACGGGGCUAAACCAUGCACCGAAGCUGCGGCAGCGACGCUUAUGCGUUGUUGGGUAGGGGAGCGUUCUGUAAGCCUGUGAAGGUGUGCUGUGAGGCAUGCUGGAGGUAUCAGAAGUGCGAAUGCUGACAUAAGUAACGAUAAAGCGGGUGAAAAGCCCGCUCGCCGGAAGACCAAGGGUUCCUGUCCAACGUUAAUCGGGGCAGGGUGAGUCGACCCCUAAGGCGAGGCCGAAAGGCGUAGUCGAUGGGAAACAGGUUAAUAUUCCUGUACUUGGUGUUACUGCGAAGGGGGGACGGAGAAGGCUAUGUUGGCCGGGCGACGGUUGUCCCGGUUUAAGCGUGUAGGCUGGUUUUCCAGGCAAAUCCGGAAAACCAAGGCUGAGGCGUGAUGACGAGGCACUACGGUGCUGAAGCGACAAAUGCCCUGCUUCCAGGAAAAGCCUCUAAGCAUCAGGUAACAUCAAAUCGUACCCCAAACCGACACAGGUGGUCAGGUAGAGAAUACCAAGGCGCUUGAGAGAACUCGGGUGAAGGAACUAGGCAAAAUGGUGCCGUAACUUCGGGAGAAGGCACGCUGAUAUGUAGGUGAAGCGACUUGCUCGUGGAGCUGAAAUCAGUCGAAGAUACCAGCUGGCUGCAACUGUUUAUUAAAAACACAGCACUGUGCAAACACGAAAGUGGACGUAUACGGUGUGACGCCUGCCCGGUGCCGGAAGGUUAAUUGAUGGGGUUAGCGGCAACGCGAAGCUCUUGAUCGAAGCCCCGGUAAACGGCGGCCGUAACUAUAACGGUCCUAAGGUAGCGAAAUUCCUUGUCGGGUAAGUUCCGACCUGCACGAAUGGCGUAAUGAUGGCCAGGCUGUCUCCACCCGAGACUCAGUGAAAUUGAACUCGCUGUGAAGAUGCAGUGUACCCGCGGCAAGACGGAAAGACCCCGUGAACCUUUACUAUAGCUUGACACUGAACAUUGAGCCUUGAUGUGUAGGAUAGGUGGGAGGCUUUGAAGUGUGGACGCCAGUCUGCAUGGAGCCGACCUUGAAAUACCACCCUUUAAUGUUUGAUGUUCUAACGUUGGCCCCUAAUCGGGGUUGCGGACAGUGUCUGGUGGGUAGUUUGACUGGGGCGGUCUCCUCCUAAAGAGUAACGGAGGAGCACGAAGGUUGGCUAAUCCUGGUCGGACAUCAGGAGGUUAGUGCAAUGGCAUAAGCCAGCUUGACUGCGAGCGUGACGGCGCGAGCAGGUGCGAAAGCAGGUCAUAGUGAUCCGGUGGUUCUGAAUGGAAGGGCCAUCGCUCAACGGAUAAAAGGUACUCCGGGGAUAACAGGCUGAUACCGCCCAAGAGUUCAUAUCGACGGCGGUGUUUGGCACCUCGAUGUCGGCUCAUCACAUCCUGGGGCUGAAGUAGGUCCCAAGGGUAUGGCUGUUCGCCAUUUAAAGUGGUACGCGAGCUGGGUUUAGAACGUCGUGAGACAGUUCGGUCCCUAUCUGCCGUGGGCGCUGGAGAACUGAGGGGGGCUGCUCCUAGUACGAGAGGACCGGAGUGGACGCAUCACUGGUGUUCGGGUUGUCAUGCCAAUGGCACUGCCCGGUAGCUAAAUGCGGAAGAGAUAAGUGCUGAAAGCAUCUAAGCACGAAACUUGCCCCGAGAUGAGUUCUCCCUGAGACUUAGAGUCUCCUGAAGGAACGUUGAAGACGACGACGUUGAUAGGCCGGGUGUGUAAGCGCAGCGAUGCGUUGAGCUAACCGGUACUAAUGAACCGUGAGGCUUAACCUU